rnacentral:tRNA from 1 species
GCGCCCGUAGCUCAAUUGGAUAGAGCGCUUGACUACGGAUCAGGAGGUUAGAGGUUCAACUCCUCUCGGGCGCGCCA